rnacentral:rRNA from 1 species
CCUACGGGGCGCAGCAGUGGGGAAUAUUGGACAAUGGGCGAAAGCCUGAUCCAGCCAUGCCGCGUGUGUGAAGAAGGCCUUCGGGUUGUAAAGCACUUUCAGUGGGGAAGAAAGCCUUGGGGCUAAUACCCUCGAGGAAGGACAUCACCCACAGAAGAAGCACCGGCUAACUCCGUGCCAGCAGCCGCGGUAAUACGGAGGGUGCGAGCGUUAAUCGGAAUUACUGGGCGUAAAGCGCGCGUAGGCGGUCUGAUAAGCCGGUUGUGAAAGCCCCGGGCUCAACCUGGGAACGGCAUCCGGAGGGUGAGGUGAGGGGGCGGGAGAGGAGGGAGACAUCCGCGGGGGGGGGGGGAAUGGCGGAAGAGUCGGGAGGAAUAGCAGGGGAGGAGGGGGCCUGAGGCAAGGACCCGGCCCCGGGGGGGCAAAGGGGUGGGUACAAACCGGGUGAGCAACGCCCGUAGUUC